GAUGAACGCUGGCGGCGUGCCUAAUACAUGCAAGUCGAGCGAACGGAUGAGAAGCUUGCUUCUCUGAUGUUAGCGGCGGACGGGUGAGUAACACGUGGAUAACCUACCUAUAAGACUGGGAUAACUUCGGGAAACCGGAGCUAAUACCGGAUAAUAUUUUGAACCGCAUGGUUCAAAAGUGAAAGACGGUCUUGCUGUCACUUAUAGAUGGAUCCGCGCUGCAUUAGCUAGUUGGUAAGGUAACGGCUUACCAAGGCAACGAUGCAUAGCCGACCUGAGAGGGUGAUCGGCCACACUGGAACUGAGACACGGUCCAGACUCCUACGGGAGGCAGCAGUAGGGAAUCUUCCGCAAUGGGCGAAAGCCUGACGGAGCAACGCCGCGUGAGUGAUGAAGGUCUUCGGAUCGUAAAACUCCGUUAUUAGGGAAGAACAUAUGUGUAAGUAACUGUGCACAUCUUGACGGUACCUAAUCAGAAAGCCACGGCUAACUACGU
rnacentral:rRNA from 1 species